rnacentral:rRNA from 1 species
GACGAACGCUGGCGGCGUGCUUAACACAUGCAAGUCGUACGGUAAGGCCCUUUCGGGGGUACACGAGUGGCGCACGGGUGCGUAACACGUGAGUAACCUGCCCACAACUUUGGGAUAACGCUAGGAAACUGGUGCUAAUACUGGAUAUGUGCUCCUGCUGCAUGGUGGGGGUUGGAAAGCUCCGGCGGUUGUGGAUGGACUCGCGGCCUAUCAGCUUGUUGGUGGGGUAGUGGCCUACCAAGGCGGCGACGGGUAGCCGGCCUGAGAGGGUGACCGGCCACAUUGGGACUGAGAUACGGCCCAGACUCCUACGGGAGGCAGCAGUGGGGAAUAUUGCACAAUGGGCGCAAGCCUGAUGCAGCAACGCCGCGGGCGGGAUAACGGCCUUCGGGUUGUAAACCGCUUUCAGCAGGGACGAAGCUUUUUGUGACGGUACCUGCAGAAGAAGCACCGGCUAACUACGUG